rnacentral:lncRNA from 1 species
UUUUUGUCUGUCCUGCUUAGAAUCCUAUAAUUACAGAAACAUGUCUGUCAGCGAUUUGCGCAUCUGAUAAUCAGAUUUUCUCUUGUUCCCAGCUCUUCCUCCAUCCGCACCCCACCACACCCCAUUCUGCCACAUCUGGAGCAGUCCCCUGCCACUCCAUGCCCAACUGACUCCUCAGCUGUUUCCAGAUCACAUCUGUCUUUCCCGGUACCGGCUUCCUGACACGCUGGAUCAUAAACGAGUCAGACCCUAAAUUCUGGUCAUCUUGAAUUCCUCUCUCGAUAGACGAUAACUGUGGAACAGAGCUAUUGCCUCAUUUCUUCUGGUCUGGUUUGGCCAGAUUCUUCGCAUGGCAUUUAAGCUUCUCCACAACCUGGAUGUGAUAUGUGUUUGAUCCUCGAAUAC